UUUUUUUUUUUAAGUUUUUAUAGUUUUCUUGAGAUAAAAAAAAAAUGACAUUUCCACUUUGUAGAAUAAAAAAACCCUAAUUUCUAAAAUCCUUAAUGUAGAAUUUCUACAAUGCAAAUAUCAACUGAAAGCACAUAAGCAGUUAACGGUCUAUUUCUUGCUCACUGCUGCAGUGUGUACUGUAGUUGGAAGACAAGUACGGGCUCCUUAUCUUCUGCAGCCUUCCUUCCCUGGCACUGAGCUCAGAACGGAGACAGCAGGGUUUCUCUGAUGGGGACUUUCUCAUUUUACAAAUAGAUCUUUCAGUGAAAACUAACAAGGCUUAAUACCUUUGUAUGUGUUAAUUUGGGGGGAGUGACCUAUCUCAUUAUAGCCUUCUAUUUUAUACACUCUCUAAUCCUGUCUUCAAACUGCCUGUAGUUACAGAUAGGGAAUGGCAAAGGGUGGAAAGUGGAGACUCAGUGCAGAGUUGCAGGAGUGACUCCUGAGUGUGAAGUGGAAAUCUGCCUGUCCCAUGAGCUCACCUGUGAUGAGGAGCUCAGAAAUGGAGUGCCCAGCAGGAAGCAGCUAUGCACAUGGUGCUGAUGAUAGUGGGCCCUUAAUCCUUAGGAACUGAGCGCCAUAAGGAUAAUAGAAAACAGUGAUGUUGGCUAUAUAUGGUACUUGGUGUUUGUAAACGUACAUUCUAUUAAUAUACACAGACAACCUUGAUUGCAAGAAAACCUUUUAAUAUUUAUAGGCUUAGAAUUCCUUCUGGAAAUUAAUAGUUUGACAAUUGUUAGUUGAAAAAGCCACAAUGGUUAAGUCUACAGUAUAUGUUACGCUAAUAUCAAUCUAUCGAUAGAUAACAUUUUAGGUCCUAAUGGAAUACUUAAGUUUGCAGAAAUUUCCAGUCAUCCUGCAAAUUACCAAACAAGAUACAUUUUAACAAAUACAU
rnacentral:lncRNA from 1 species